rnacentral:rRNA from 1 species
AUUGAACGCUGGCGGCAGGCCUAACACAUGCAAGUCGAGCGGAUGACGGGAGCUUGCUCCUUGAUUCAGCGGCGGACGGGUGAGUAAUGCCUAGGAAUCUGCCUGGUAGUGGGGGACAACGUUUCGAAAGGAACGCUAAUACCGCAUACGUCCUACGGGAGAAAGCAGGGGACCAUCGGGCCUUGCGCUAUCAGAUGAGCCUAGGUCGGAUUAGCUAGUUGGUGAGGUAAUGGCUCACCAAGGCGACGAUCCGUAACUGGUCUGAGAGGAUGAUCAGUCACACUGGAACUGAGACACGGUCCAGACUCCUACGGGAGGCAGCAGUGGGGAAUAUUGGACAAUGGGCGAAAGCCUGAUCCAGCCAUGCCGCGUGUGUGAAGAAGGUCUUCGGAUUGUAAAGCACUUUAAGUUGGGAGGAAGGGCAGUAAGUUAAUACCUUGCUGUUUUGACGUUACCGACAGAAUAAGCACCGGCUAACUCUGUGCCAGCAGCCGCGGUAA